rnacentral:rRNA from 1 species
UACGGAGGGUGCAAGCGUUGUCCGGAUUUAUUGGGUUUAAAGGGUGCGUAGGCGGCCCGUUAAGUCAGUGGUGAAAGCCUCCAGCUCAACUGGAGAACUGACAUUGAUACUGACGGGCUUGAGUACAGACGAGGUAGGCGGAAUUGAUUGUGUAGCGGUGAAAUGCAUAGAUACAAUCAAGAACUCCGAUUGCGUAGGCAGCUUACUAGGCUGUAACUGACGCUGAGGCACGAAAGCGUGGGGAGCGAACAGG